rnacentral:sRNA from 1 species
UUGUGUGUUGGCAUAUUUUGGUUAAGUGGUUUUUUUCUGUAUUUUGUACGGUAGCGGCACUUUUUUGAAAGUUGAUUUUACUAUUUCGUUUGUAUCAUUAUUUAAAAAUGUAGUUGAAACGCGUAAAAUACGUUUUCGAUGGUAUUUUUUAACUUAUUUUUUGUAGUUCGUUCAGAGUCGGGUCGAGGCGACGACAGACGGCGACGUUAGCUGGAGCGCGCGUGCAUAACACGCACACAUACAGACACAUACACAAAAAGUGGAGAAAUCAAUCAAGAGUGAACAGAGCACAGCCGGAAGGGGGGCGGGGAGCACCGUGUGGAGUGGAAGGAAAAUCACAUAUGUAUAUUCAGCAAUGUAAAUGCGACAAAAUUUUCACGCAUCUUUGUUCCGUUCCGUUUUGAGCAUUUUUGCACUCACUUCUAAACUAUAUUACGCACUGGAUUUUUCGGUUAACACUUAAUUGAGCCGCUUGCAAACGAUGCUGUUACGAUUAAUGCACGUAUUUCCCUUAAACUACAAUUCUUUUUAUAAUUAAUAGUGUAAUCUGGUUCAACAAAAAAAAUUCAGAAAAUCACGUCAUGGCUGCCACGUCCAAGCAACAAUGAAA